GGCCAGGUAGCUCAGGUGGUUGGAGCAUUGUCCCAUACACCAAAAGGUUCUGGGUUCGAUUCCCAGUCAGGGCA
rnacentral:tRNA from 1 species